GGGUAUUCUUGGAGCUUAAAGGCCACGAAAAUCUGCCCUUUUUCCAUCUCCAAAAAGUGUUCUUCAAGGGCUUGCUUGAGGAACGACACCACUAGGCGCAUUCCACGUACUUGAUCAGCCCCUAACACCCUCCAAUCAAGUUUAGAGCAGUAGGUUUGCUAAUGGACCGCCUCUGGAUGUUGUAACUGUUUGAUGUUUGAAGGCUUGUAAUGCAAAC